rnacentral:rRNA from 1 species
GAUGAACGCUGGCGGCGUGCCUAAUACAUGCAAGUCGAGCGAACGGACGAGAAGCUUGCUUCUCUGAUGUUAGCGGCGGACGGGUGAGUAACACGUGGAUAACCUACCUAUAAGACUGGGAUAACUUCGGGAAACCGGAGCUAAUACCGGAUAAUAUUUUGAACCGCAUGGUUCAAAAGUGAAAGACGGUCUUGCUGUCACUUAUAGAUGGAUCAGCGCUGCAUUAGCUAGUUGGUAAGGUAACGGCUUACCAAGGCAACGAUGCAUAGCCGACCUGAGAGGGUGAUCGCCCACCCUGGAACUGAGACACGGUCCCGACUCCUACGGGAGGCAGCAGUAGGGAAUCUUCCGCCAUGGGCGAAAGCCUGACGGAGCAACGCCGCGUGAGUGAUGAAGGUCUUCGGAUCGUAAAACUCUGUUAUUCGGGAAGAACAUAUGUGUAAGUAACUGUGCACAUCUUGACGGUACCUAAUCAGAAAGCCACGGCUAACUACGUG